AAAAAGAAUUGAAAAUCGAUCUUCACUUUAUAUAAAGAAGUUAAUUACUAUCCCAUUUAAGAAAAUUUUCAUAUAUCUAUCAUUCCCCUAUAGUCAGAGUAUUUGGAGGACGAAUGCUUAUGCCAAACCGGAAAAAUAAAAAAAAAACAUAGGUAAAGAUUGAUCUUUGGUAAAGAUAUCCGCAUAUUUGUAUGCGGACAAAACAUAAAAAACUCGCAUUUGACCAAGAGCAACCUUC
rnacentral:lncRNA from 1 species